GACGAACGCUGGCGGCGUGCCUAAUACAUGCAAGUAGAACGCUGAAGAGAGGAGCUUGCUCUUCUUGGAUGAGUUGCGAACGGGUGAGUAACGCGUAGGUAACCUGCCUUGUAGCGGGGGAUAACUAUUGGAAACGAUAGCUAAUACCGCAUAACAAUGGAUGACACAUGUCAUUUAUUUGAAAGGGGCAAUUGCUCCACUACAAGAUGGACCUGCGUUGUAUUAGCUAGUAGGUGAGGUAAUGGCUCACCUAGGCGACGAUACAUAGCCGACCUGAGAGGGUGAUCGGCCACACUGGGACCGAGACACGGCCCAGACUCCUACGGGAGGCAGCAGUAGGGAAUCUUCGGCAAUGGGGGCAACCCUGACCGAGCAACGCCGCGUGAGUGAAGAAGGUUUUCGGAUCGUAAAGCUCUGUUGUAAGUCAAGAACGGGUGUGAGAGUGGAAAGUUCACACUGUGACGGUAGCUUACCAGAAAGGGACGGCUAACUACGUG
rnacentral:rRNA from 1 species